rnacentral:rRNA from 1 species
GAUGAACGCUGGCGGCGUGCCUAAUACAUGCAAGUCGAGCGAACGGACGAGAAGCUUGCUUCUCUGAUGUUAGCGGCGGACGGGUGAGUAACACGUGGAUAACCUACCUAUAAGACUGGGAUAACUUCGGGAAACCGUAGCUAAUACCGGAUAAUAUUUUGAACCGCAUGGUUCAAAAGUGAAAGACGGUCUUGCUGUCACUUAUAGAUGGAUCCGCGCUGCAUUAGCUAGUUGGUAAGGUAACGGCUUACCAAGGCAACGAUGCAUAGCCGACCUGAGAGGGGGAGCGGGCACACUGGAAUUGAGACACGGUCCAGACUCGGACGGGAGGCAGGAGUAGGGAAUCUUCCGGAAGGGGCGAAAGCCUGACGCAGCAACGCCGCGUGAGUGAUGAAGGUCUUCGGAUCGUAAAACGCUGUUAUGAGGGAAGAAGAUAUGUGUAAGUAACUGUGCACAUCUUGACGGUACCGAAGCAGAAAGCCACGGCAAACUACGU